rnacentral:rRNA from 1 species
AGCUAGUUGGUAAGGUAACGGCUUACCAAGGCGACGAUACGUAGCCGACCUGAGAGGGUGAUCGGCCACACUGGAACUGAGACACGGUCCAGACUCCUACGGGAGGCAGCAGUAGGGAAUCUUCCGCAAUGGGCGAAAGCCUGACGGAGCAACGCCGCGUGAGUGAUGAAGGGUUUCGGCUCGUAAAACUCUGUUAUUAGGGAAGAACAAACGUGUAAGUAACUGUGCACGUCUUGACGGUACCUAAUCAGAAAGCCACGGCUAACUACGUG